rnacentral:rRNA from 1 species
UGGGGAAUAUUGGACAAUGGGCGCAAGCCUGAUCCAGCCAUGCCGCGUGAGUGAUGAAGGCCCUAGGGUUGUAAAGCUCUUUUGUGCGGGAAGAUAAUGACGGUACCGCAAGAAUAAGACCCGGCUAACUUCGUGCCAGCAGCCGCGGUAAUACGAAGGGGGCUAGCGUGGCUCGGAAUCACUGGGCGUAAAGGGUGCGUAGGCGGGUCUUUAAGUCAGGGGUGAAAUCCUGGAGCUCAACUCCAGAACUGCCUUUGAUACUGAAGAUCUUGAGUUCGGGAGAGGUGAGUGGAACUGCGAGUGUAGAGGUGAAAUUCGUAGAUAUUCGCAAGAACACCAGUGGCGAAGGCGGCUCACUGGCCCGAUACUGACGCUGAGGCACGAAAGCGUGGGGAGCAA